rnacentral:misc_RNA from 1 species
GAAAUGCGAUAAGUAAUGUGAAUUGCAGAAUUCAGUGAAUCAUCGAAUCUUUGAACGCACAUUGCGCCCCGUGGUAUUCCGCGGGGCAUGCCUGUUCGAGCGUCAUUUCAACCCCUCACGCUCCGGCGUGGUCUUGAGGCCUGCGGUUCCGCAGCCUCUAAACUCAGUGGCGGUGCUAUUGAGCUCUGAGCGUAGUAAAUCUCCUCGCUAUAGGGCCUCGGUAGUUGCUUGCCAGCAACCCCCCAUUUUUUAUCAGGUUGACCUCGGAUCAGGUAGGGGAUACCCGCUGAACUUAA